ACUUUCGUGGUGUAGUGGUCAGCACGCUGGACGCGUAUUCCACAGGUCCAUGGUUCGAGUCCCGGCGAAGGCG
rnacentral:tRNA from 1 species